rnacentral:rRNA from 1 species
GCCAUAGCGUGAGGGAAACGCCCGGUCACAUUCCGAACCCGGAAGCUAAGCCUCACAGCGCCGAUGGUACUGCAGGGGGGACCCUGUGGGAGAGUAGGACACCGCCGGAC